rnacentral:lncRNA from 1 species
GCGAGUCUCCCCGGUUCAUUAUAAGUCCUGGCAGAGCGGGGCUCGCCGUGUUUGAUUGGGAAAGUUUUGCGGCGCCUUUCUUUCCCCGAGUUGGGAUGCACGAGAAAAGUAUGCUAAUUAGCGAGCCUACCCUCAAAGCCGGAGUUCCGUCAAAAGCUGUAAUGUCAUCAUAAACUCCAAAUUAACCGUUUUCCCUUUGAUAUUAAGCUCUGUGCUGCAUGACAAGAGCUACCGUUUUAAUUUAACAGGGGGAAAAAAAAAAAAGUAGAGGUUCCGUCGUCGUCUGGCAUGAGCGGCGGCGAUAAAAAAAAAAAUAAAAAAGUUGGUUUCGAAAGGCACGAGCACCAGAGGAAGCGCGAGACGUGGUCCCGAUUGUGUUGCACGAAAACGUAACGCGGUUAUCCCUCCUCUCAAGAAACAGCUUUCCCCCCCGCUUCUACCUCUAUUUUAUGGGUUUAAUAAUACUGCGAAAAGGUUGCGCGCAAAUUUUUGUCUGGCAGACACCGACAGGUUUGUUUUAGACACUGGCGGAAUAGAGAACAGACAUAAUUACACCCUAGGAGGAACCCGGUACAAACACGCGCGCGCGCGCGCAUGCGCACAACACACAUCGCUGAGGAGAGAGGUCGCGGGCCACCGAGGAAGGAAGCCGAAUUCGGGAGGACUUGUCAGGAUCAUUCGGAUCGGCCGCCAGCGAGCGUCUUCCCGCCUGAGACGGGCUGACAGCUCUGCGGAGCGAUGAUGUAUUCCCACCAGGUGCGCCUGCAUCUUGGCUCCCAUUUCGAAGAAAGGAGGGAUGGUUCAGCAAGGGCUGAUUAUUCGACUGCUGUGCAAAUUGCAUUAUCCACAAUGCUUACGCUGCGUCCUUUCAGGAAAUGAGAAUGGGACUCGAAUCGAGGUUCUUCUUUCCACUCAAAUAUCGCCACUUCAGCCGCGGGGUCGCAGUGAGCCGGAGCCUAUCCCAGCAACACGGGGCGCAAGGCAGAAGGGGGAGGGGACACACCCCGGACGGGACGCCUGUCCGCCACGAGGCGCCCCAAGCAGGGCUCGAACCUCAGACCCGCCACACAGCAGGCGGAGGCCAAACCCGCCGCGCCGCGCCGCGCCGCGCCGCGCCCCCUGGGCACAUCUUGAAAUGCUCUAAAUGUAAGGAGGAAGCUGGGUUCCUGCCUUUCUGAGCGACAGGUCCCGCUGUAGCAAUGGCGUGGGUUUCAAAAAGCCGGAUGUCUACCCUAAGCCAGCGUGUAAAAACGAGUCGACGCGAAAGAUGGUGCCCAAUCAGGACAGCGUACUCGCGCUGAACAGGACCGCUGGCUUCGGAACGGGUUCGGGUUUUAUGACUUUUGAUCCAUGCAGUACCCGAUGCUUGUCCUCAGCAACGUCUGAAGAUCGUGAGGAACAUGGCGAUAAGACAACAACGCCAGACAUGUAACAAGCGCCUGGUUGAACAUGUCUGAAAACUGUCCAGCAUCACCAGCACUAUGAAUAAAUGCAAAAGUUCCUUAUGACUCA